GGAUCAACUACGACUUUCAUAUAUGCAUUACUUAGAAAGCUGAACAAUAUGAUUAAAAACCCUAUACCCUCAUCCUUAUCAAACUGAUGCCC
ensembl:snoRNA SNORD116 Small nucleolar RNA SNORD116